AUUAAUUAUAUGAAAGAAUAAUAAACCACUUUGCAAACAAGACAAUAUACUAGAAUUUCUAGAACAUUUGCAGAUGAACCAACCCCUCUAAAUUUCUCUUGCUAAUUUAACUUAUUUUAGUAUUUCUUUUGUUAUCCAUAUCAUGUGGAGCCAUGCUAAUAUAGUUGUAAUUCCCUCGUUUGCGGUUAUCUUGUGUAGUAUUCUCAAUCCGAGAAUCCAAAUCAAAAGAUUACAAAUGUCAUAAAAAUAUGUGAUACACUUGUUUAUCAAUUUAAAUUAAGAAGGAAGAAGGAAAUGAUAAUUUGGAACAUAAACAUUAUAGGAUGCAUGGUAUUGAAAAAUAUUCCUUUGACUAUUUGUCAUAAACAAACACCAUCCUACUAUUACAUAUAUUAUUAUUUUUAACCAUGUGUGAAUAAAUUAUUCUAUGUAAAAGUUAGAACCAUAGUACAAUAAAUGCAUGUGUAAGAAUAUUAUUUUUUUUGGUGAAUGACAAGCAUGCAUGUGUAAGAAUGAAAAUGGACAAAGUGUUAAUUUCUACCUUCAUCUAAACACACCAUCUCAUUAACAUAAAUAGCUAGCUAUAGUAAAGUUCAUUCUUUUGGAAAAAAAAAUUAAAAUGGUGGAAAAGACACACGUUUAGCUAUAUAUAUUUCAAAUAAUUAAACAAUGGAAUAAUUUUUGGAAUAGACAUAUACCUGAUUCAUAUGUUAACGUAUACCUGAAUUUUUGUUUCCUUCCAUGCUCAAAUGCCUAACUUGUCUACUUUUUAUUCAAGCACCUCACAUGAAAAAUAUCUAUACAUACAAAAAGUGGUACUUUGCUAACUCCUUUUUUUAUGAAAGCUAGCUAUAAAGCAACACAAUAAGUGUCUUACCCUUUGCACAUUCUAUACAUGUUAAUUUUGGUUUGCAGCCACUUGAUGAAAUAACUAAAAUGACUUGUGUUUGUGUCUUUCUAUUUCAUUGUUACAUGAAUUUGUCUCUCACCAUAUGCAAAAGCUAUUGUAGGUGAGUAGUUGAAAUGGAAUAAUGCAACGAAAAUAACAGGGUCAUGGAGGGUUCUGACUUUUGGGCAUUAGAAUAUCAAUAUAACUACAUUUUGAAAGACAAAAAAGUUGAAGAUUCACCUUGGAAAGAAGAAAUGAAAGAUUCAAUUGCUCUUCUUUAUGUGUAAUUUACAAUCUUUCUUUGCUAUUAUAUCUUUAAACAUGAACUAAAUAUUUAUAUGAUUAGGAUGUAUAUGACCCUCUUUGAAUCUACGUAGUUUAGAAUAUUUAUUACUAUUUAUGCAAUUAAGAUUUAGUUUUAUUCA